rnacentral:rRNA from 1 species
UACGUAGGGGGGCUAGCGUUGUACGGAUUUAUUGGGCGUAAAGAGCGUGUAGGCGGCUUGGUAGGUCCGCUGUGAAAACUCGAGGCUCAACCUCGAGAUGUCGGCGGAAACCACUUGGCUAGAGUCCGGAAGAGGAGAGUGGAAUUCCCGGUGUAGCGGUGAAAUGCGCAGAUAUCGGGAAGAACACCUAUGGCGAAGGCAGCUCUCUGGGACGGUACUGACGCUGAGACGCGAAAGCGUGGGGAGCGAACAGG